GGUUCCUUAGCCAAGCGGUAAGGUCGGGCUCUGCAAAAGCGGGAUCACUGGUUCAAAUCCAGUAGGAACCU
rnacentral:tRNA from 1 species